GGCCUCUUCGUUUAAUGGCUAGGACAUCCCCCUCUCACGGGGAAAAUGGGGGUUCGAUUCCCCCAGGGGCUACCA
rnacentral:tRNA from 1 species